rnacentral:rRNA from 1 species
GACAGAGGGGGCGAGCGUUAUCCGGAGUUAUUGGGCGUAAAGGGUACGUAGGCGGCUGGUCAAGGCUGGGGUUAAAGACCACAGCUUAACUGUGGGGGGCCUUGGAAACUGACCGGCUGGAGUGGGGCAGGGGUUGCGGGAAUUCCCGGUGUAGCGGUGAAAUGCGUAGAUAUCGGGAAGAACACCUGAGGCGAAAGCGCGCAACUGGGCCCUAACUGACGCUGAGGUACGAAAGCUAGGGGAGCGAAUGGG